ensembl:snoRNA
UUGCAUGUUUUGGCCCUUGGCCUUUCUUGGCCUCUCUCUACUUCUAUAGAGAGGACAAGUACGAACAUGCUAGAGUAACACUGAAAUAAUUGGGAGUUAUCAGGGCCACCAGUCUCUAAAGGUCAGGCUGAGUUGGUAGUAUAAUACUCCCACACUU